UUCUAGCUUGCUAGAAGAUGACGAGCGGCGGACGGGUGAGUAAUGCUUGGGAACAUGCCUUGAGGUGGGGGACAACAGUUGGAAACGACUGCUAAUACCGCAUAAUGUCUACGGACCAAAGGGGGCUUCGGCUCUCGCCUUUAGAUUGGCCCAAGUGGGAUUAGCUAGUUGGUGAGGUAAUGGCUCACCAAGGCGACGAUCCCUAGCUGGUUUGAGAGGAUGAUCAGCCACACUGGGACUGAGACACGGCCCAGACUCCUACGGGAGGCAGCAGUGGGGAAUAUUGCACAAUGGGCGCAAGCCUGAUGCAGCCAUGCCGCGUGUGUGAAGAAGGCCUUCGGGUUGUAAAGCACUUUCAGUCAGGAGGAAAGGUUAGUAGUUAAUACCUGCUAGCUAUGACGUUACUGACAGAAGAAGCACCGGCUAACUCCGUGCCAGCAGCCGCGGUAAUACGGAGGGUGCGAGCGUUAAUCGGAAUUACUGGGCGUAAAGCGUACGCAGGCGGUUUGUUAAGCGAGAUGUGAAAGCCCCGGGCUCAACCUGGGAACUGCAUUUCGAACUGGCAAACUAGAGUGUGAUAGAGGGUGGUAGAAUUUCAG
rnacentral:rRNA from 1 species